AGCAGCAGCCGCGGGAACACGAAGGGUGCAAGCGUUAAUCGGAAUUACUGGGCGUAAAGCGCGCGUAGGUGGUUUGGUAAGAUGGAUGUGAAAUCCCCGGGCUCAACCUGGGAACUGCAUCCAUAACUGCCUGACUAGAGUACGGUAGAGGGUGGUGGAAUUUCCUGUGUAGCGGUGAAAUGCGUAGAUAUAGGAAGGAACACCAGUGGCGAAGGCGACCACCUGGACUGAUACUGACACUGAGGUGCGAAAGCGUGGGGAGCAAACAGGAUUAGAUACCCCAGUAGUCCCUGUCUCUUAUAC
rnacentral:rRNA from 1 species